UCCUUGUUUUUCUUCACUCUUUUUCUCCUCCCUAUGACACAGACACACAUUGCCGAUUUGCUCUUCAUUUUACACUUUAAACCUCAAGCCUUGGACCCUUCGUGAUUGCUCGAACUGCAACAACAAUGGGUGAGCGUGUUCCAAACGAUGUCGUGGAAGACAUCCUGGGUCAGCUACCAGUGAAAUCCUUAACCCGAUUCAGGUGCGUUUCGAAAUCUUGUGACUCCAUUAUCACUGACCCCACUUUCAUUGCCAAACACUUCAAUCUCAACCUUAACCAAUCUGAAUCAUUGAUAUCCACAAACGCUCACAGUGGGUAUUUGCUAUAUACUACAAAGGAUGAGAAUAGUUCACCAUCUUCCAAACAUCUGUGUACGGUUGUUUGCAACAAUGACCGCACUUUGACCCAGAUUUCAAGGUUCGAAAUCCCCUCACUUUUUGAGAAAUAUAGUAUAGUUGGUUUCUGUAAUGGCUUGUUCUGUCUAGCUAGUCGUGAUUAUGAUCUUAAUCACAUUAUAUAUUUGUGGAACCCAAGUAUUAGAAUGUUUAAGAAGCUUCUAGCUACUCCCCUUACUGACGAGGUUCAUAAGAGAUUUAAGUUGUCUGUUGUUGGACUUUCUUAUAAUUCUCAGAACAAUGACUUCAAGAUUCUGAGACUUCUGUCUGUGGGACCAGAGGCCGAGGCCGAGAUUUACAGUUUGAGUACAGAUUCCUGGAGAAAGGUUGUAAUAUCGUUGGAAUCCUUUAGAGCGUAUGAACCCAACUUUGGAGGAAUUUUUGACAUUGAUCUACCCUGUAUAUUUUUUAAUGGAGCUUUGCACACUGUAGCAUGGACUUGCCGCCGCCCUAUCAUUCUGUCCUUUGAUGUCAAUGAUGAGAGCUUCCGUGAGAUAAUGUUGACUCCUAAUCAUUUGAGAGCUUCCGUGGUUACGCAUUUCACUCAGCAUGCAUUGUUUAAGGGAUCCCUAGCUCUUUUCACUUUUGCUCAGAGUCAUGCGGGUGUCUUAUGCCACAUAUGGGUUAUGGAGGAGUAUGGUGUGGCUGAGUCUUGGACUAGAAAAUAUUCGGUACCAAUGAUUUGGGUUAGUGUUGGUAAUUUCUAUGGCUGCACUGAUAAUGGUGAACUUUUGAUUAAGAAUGCUACUGGGCUGGUUUCAAUUGACCCUGAGAGUCGAAAGCAGAACAUUCUUGCAAUUGAAGAUGCUGAUUGGGUGGGUUUCAUGGCUAAUUCAAUGGAGAGCUUGAUUUUACUCAAUGGUGGUAAGUAAAUGUGAAAAUUCACUUUAGCUAUUAUAUCACUUUCAGUUUUGCCACCAUCAUUGUGAAAAUUAACUUUAGCUAGUAUUGCUUAAUUUGUAUAUAACUUUAGCUAGUACUUUUGAUGCUGAAACUAAGGUUGUAAUUGUUUCCAUCCUUGUGUUUAAGUAAUUUCUCAAUAUGAAUGGGUGAAGUUACCUAAAUUACAUUUGAGGAAUGAUCAAAUGGGGAUUUCAGAUGGCUAAGCCAUUCUGUUCUAUUGUGCUUUUGCCAUUGAGCAUACCAAAACCCUUUAGUCUAAUUGGCCCGGUUAGCAAUAUUUAGUUCCAUGGCUAUUGUUCUCAAGUCCAACAACUAGCAGCAGCUGAAAUUUUGCUUCCUUUCAGAAGUUUAAAACAAUGGAAUCCUAAUUGACCAUAAUAUAACAGUGCCAAAAUCCAAAAUUGCGUUAAUAUUACUAGUAGGUGUUGAUGUAACAAUGAAGUAGGACAGAUUUGAAGUACCUCCAAUAUGCAUGUGUUGGACUUUAAUAGGAAAAGUGGCCUUUCAUUUGAAGUAUCUCUCAUGGCUGGAGAUGUAUCCAAUACAGUCUCCAAAGAGUAUCUGGAUAUUGAAAUAUGUUUUAAAUUUUGGAUAUAGUCUGAUAUGUUGUGGAUGUGGUCAAGACGGCCUUGACACAAUCUUGAUGCGGGAGUUGCUUAAAUUGGGAAGAAAAACUAGUUGGUUUCACUUUGAAUGAGUCAAAACCCUUCUCUUGUUUUGCAGUUGACUCUCUCUCUCUCUCUCUCUCUCUCUCUCUCUCUCUCUCUCUUAGACACACACAUACACUUUGAUCUUAUACCUACUCAUCAAUUGACCGUGAUUUCCUGGUCAUGGGGGUUGAUGGAUAUUGUCGCAUCUGUGUUUGCACUUUGAAGGAGUUUGUGAUGCACGUGUGAGAUAAUUGAGUUUCUGUUUUUACUUUUUAACUGUCUGAUUCUUAUGGGUUUGAGAACUAGGGGACAAUUGAAGAUGAAGCAGCAGAUUUUAGGCUUAGUGCAUUUGUGCAUUUUGAAAAUGUUUUUGAAGGAUUUGAUGCUUGUAAAUGGCACUUCCUCAUCUCACUAUUGAUGUUGGGUAUAUUAUAUAUAUUCUUGUUUUUAGGAGUUGCCAUUUAUCCGUAUGCUUAUUGUAUCUUGUGUUGGUAUUGAUACUUUCUUAGAUUAAUUUGAAUCAUGGUGCUGAUUGUCAUCAAGUUUUGUAUGGGAGAAUACUGCCUUUAGAUUCUACUCCUGCACCCUAAAUUACCUAUUAACAAUAGAAAAAAAGGGAAGGAAUUGACUGAAGUUAGAGAAUUGAAUAUGGUGAUUCAAGGCUCUUAUCCUUGAUAAAGGAGUUGCAUUGAUGCAGAAUGUUGCUGUUGUGUUAUGCUAAGAAGCUUAAUACUUAAGAUUUAUAUUAAUUAAAAAUAGGUAAUGGAGAUCUCAGGGUUUAUUUUUGAUGAUUGAAGUUAGUUUUAGGCCCAAGGGGGAAUGGAAAGAAUG